AUGACCACAGUCCCGGCUUACGGCACUGGCCUUACUUUUAGGACAGGGAAGCUGAGACAAAGUGGGGCGAUCAAAGAACUGGAAUUUGAACUGCGUCUGAGUGACUCGGAAGCCCCGGACGAGUGGCGCCCCCGAGCCGGCAAAACUCCACCUCGAUGGGCGUCCGAGUUGAUGCAAGCGGCCUUUCGUCGAAGGACCGGUGCCGGUUGCACCGCGCUUCCCUUCUCCCGCCCUGGUCACCACUCAGGGCGGUGGGAGCCGGUGCAGGCAACGCGCUUUGAUCGCGGAGCGCACCCUGCCGGAGGGCUGCAAUCUUGCUCGCUCGCUUCCCUCCCCAUCCCCCAGUCUGUCUGGGACCACUCCACUUCUCCUUCUCGGUAGAGGCCAACCCAGUUUUUCAGGUGACAAAGGUGAGCAGAAGAAAUUACUGCCCUACCUGGAGCUCUGAUAAGGGUUCAGAAUCCUUAGGAAUGAAGGUUGGAGUCAGCCCUCUGGACCAAGAACUUUCACCAAGAAGGAAGCCACAGCCCAUGACCUGCAUCCAUAUGGCUAUAGCCUCCAUCUGAAGCCACAUGGAAUAUUUAUGCUUCCCCACCAAAAAAACAAAGUAUUGAGUAGUUCUUGCUAUGGUAUAGUGGGUUAAGAACCCAACUGCACAACUCUAAAGAAAAAAAUAAAAAUCUAUACAGUAUAGAAAGGACAGCUUGUCCAAUAAGUGGUGCUGGGAAAACUGGACAGCCACAUGGAAAAGAAUGAAAUUAGAACACUCCCUAACACCAUACACAAAAAUCAACGCCAAAUAGAUUAAAGACCUAGAUAUAAGACCAGACACUAUAAAACUCUUAGAGGAAAACAUAGGCCAAAAACUCUCUGACAUAAACGACAGCAAUAUCUUCUCAGAUCCACCUCUCAGAGUAUUGACAACAAAAACAAAAAUAAACAAAUGGGACCUAAUCAAACUUCGAAGUUUCUGCACAGCAAAGGAACCCCUAAACAACACGAAAAGACAGCCCACAGAAUGGGAGAAAAUCUUUGCACGUGAAUCGACUGACAAGGCAUUGAUCUCCAAAAUUUAUAAACAACUUCUGCAGUUCCAUACCAAAAAAACAAACAAGCCUAUCAAAAAAUGGGCAGAAGAUCUAAACAGACAGUUCUCCAAAGAAGACAUACAGAUGGCCAAGAAACACAGGAAAGGGUGUUCCACAUCACUCAUUAUUAGAGAGAUGCAAAUCAAAACCACUCUGAGGUACCACCUUACACCAGCCAGAAUGGCCGUCAUCAAAACGUCUACAAACAAUAAGUGCUGGAGAGGGUGCGGAGAAAAAGGAACCCUAGUACACUGUUGGUGGGAUUGUAAAUUGGUGCAACCACUGUGGAAAGCAGUAUGGAGAUUCCUCAGAAACUAAACAUAGAACUACCAUUUGAUCUAGCAAUCCCACUCCUGGGCAUCUACCCAGAGAAAACCACGACUCACAAAGACACAUUACUCCGGUGUUCACUGCAGCAGUAUUUACAAUAGCCAAAACAUGGAAGCAACCUAAAUGUCCAUCGACAGAGAAGUGGAUCCAGAAGUGGUACAUAUACUCAAUGGAAUAUUACUCAGCCAUUAAAAAGAAUGAAAUACCAGUAUUUUUUCCAACAUGGAUGGACCUAGAAACUAUCAUGCUAAGUGAAGUCAGCCAUACAAUGAGACAGCAACAUCAAAUGCUUUCACUGACAUGUGGAAUCUGAAAAAAGGACAGACUGAACUUGUUUGCAGAACAGAUGCUGACUCACAGACAUUGAAAAACUUACUGUCUCAGGGGAUGGGGGGAUGUGCUUGGGCUGUGGGAUGGAAAUCCUGUGAAAUCAGAUUGUUAUGAUCAUUAGACAACUACAGACGUGAUAAAUUCAUUUGAGUAAUAAAAAUUAAAAAAUUAAAAAAGAAAAUAAAAAUAAAUAAUAAAAAAUGAAAAUAGAAAAAUAAAAAUAAAAAUCCAUCCUCUUCAAGGCAGAAUGUAUUGUGGCCGCUGAAUUUAUUACUGAGGUUGCCGAUUGGUGAAGUGGGGCCCUGAUGGAAUUGGGAAAGGAGUGAAUUGGGAAAGGAGCCUCUGGGAGAUUCUGGAUUCUGAUCCAUGACCCAGGACACACCCUGGGGCUGGGGCCCGCGGGGAGGGGAUGAGGGGGGGUGGAGCUCCAGGUCAGAUCACUGUAUUGUGUUAGGUUCAUUUUCACACACUUGCUUCCAAGUCUCUCUCACCACCCACCUCCCCCAGACAGAAACUUGGGCGGCACCCUUGACCACUCCCGGUCCCUCACCCAUCACUGCAUAAGGUAUCAAGAUCAGAAAACUUCAUUUCCUAAGCAACUCUUCACCCCAGCUCCCCGCCCCGCCAGACGCAGCCACUGCCCGGACCCCUGCCCCCAACUCACAAUCAGCUCUUUAAAUGUCUCUCUGCCUCCCUCUGCUCUUCCCCUUUCAAUCUUGUCCAAAGCCAAUUCCCUUCUAAAUGGAAACAUUACCGACCCACUCCCAGCAGAUAAGGUAGUUUAGUGUUGCCAACAAGACCCUCUGGUCAUCUCCAGCCCCGCCACUCUAGCAGGUGAUCCUAAGCCUCUAGGCCUUUCUUUUUUCUUUUCUUCUUUUUCUUUCCUUUUAGCUUUUUAG
rnacentral:lncRNA from 9 species